CUUUGAUAAGCUAAUAUGGUAGUAUCAAACUCUUGAUUUGAAUAAAAGUGGAGAAAACCCCCACUAUCAAAGA
rnacentral:tRNA from 1 species